rnacentral:rRNA from 1 species
AUUGAACGCUGGCGGCAGGCCUAACACAUGCAAGUCGAGCGGAGCGGCGGACGGGUGAGUGAUGCCUGGGAAUCUGCCUGGUAGUGGGGGAUAACGUCCGGAAACGGGCGCUGAUACCGCAUACUAUCAGAUGAGCCUAGGUCGGAUUAGGUAGUUGGUGGGGUAAAGGCAUACCAAGGCGACGAUCCGUAACUGGUCUGAGAGGAUGAGCAGUCACACUGGAACUGAGACACGGUCCAGACUCCUACGGGAGGCAGCAGUGGGGAAUAUUGGACAAUGGGCGAAAGCCUGAUGCAGCCAUGCCGCGUGUGUGAAGAAGGUCUUCGGGUUGUAAAGCACUUUCAGCGGGGAGGCGUUACCAGCAGAAUAAGCACCGGCUAACUCCGUGCCAGCAGCCGCGGUAAUAC